rnacentral:misc_RNA from 1 species
UCAUCGGGAGCAGACCUUCGCGCUGCAGCUUCUUGCGCGCGAGCUUGCGGGCGCGGCGAACGGCUUCAGCCUUUUCGCGGGCCUUCUUCUCGGAGGGCUUUUCGUAAUGACCGCGGAGCUUCAUCUCGCGGAAAAUGCCCUCGCGCUGCAUCUUUUUCUUCAGCGCCUUGAGAGCCUGGUCGACAUUGUUAUCGCGGACGAGAACCUGCACGCGGCAUCCUCUUUGGUUUCAAUCAUGAAAUUCAGGAGACGACGAAGGACCGGCUAAAGGCCACGCCCUUCUCAUCGAAGGCGCGGAUGUACCAGAUCAAACCGGGAAUGUCCACCUGUGGAUGGCCUUUUUCAGGGGCCUGAAAGUCAUGAUUCCGGGGCAAAUUAGACGGGCCGGGCCCGCGAUUCGGGGGAAUUCAGAAGGAAGGCUUAAGACUCCCAUUUCUACGGUUCCCGAGGUGAUCCAACACCACGAUUCAGGGGAGACGUGACAUGAAUGCGAAGAAAUACGCCGCCGAG